AAAAUUGAAAAAAAAAAUAAAAAAAAUGAAAAAA
rnacentral:sRNA from 1 species